rnacentral:lncRNA from 1 species
UAUUUGGACUAAAAUUGACUUAAGACUACCCUAACUAUUCGACAGCCUCUAUUCGACAGACAGCCUCCUAUUCAUCCUCUUAGCUCUACGCCUCCGACCAAAACCUAAAUCCUCUUGGUUCUUCGAAUCCAACCAGAACUCGACGCCUCGUCCUCCUUCUUUUUCGAGUCAGACCAGCUCCUGUGCUCCAAGACAGUGAACAGGAUGGGAGAUCGAGGCCGCUGUUUCGGGGAAACUUUGAGCUUCUGAGUCGUAGGAUUUGUGUUUCAUCUACUGAGGCAUUCUUCAUUGAGCUGGGCAAAGCUCGAAGCUUUGCAUGACCAUGUAACUGGAGCUUUCUGGGCAUUCUUUAUCUCUGAUCCCAUUCCUCACUACUACGUUGUCUGCAAAACCCAAUUCAUUCGUACCCUUUUGUCCCUUCACAUAAUUUCUCAUCAAAAGACUGUAACUCAAUCACAUUGAGACACAAGCCUCUUGGGUUGUGGUUGUUUCGAUAAUCUUGAGCUUUUGUGCAUCUGGGACUUCCUCGAUUGAGAAUUAUCACCAAGCGUUUCCUAUUGUGGAACCAGAUCCUGGUCAUACAAAACUUCGUCUUUCAAAGGAAGGCCUAGAGGCCAUUGAAAGAAUAAAAACUCCGAUUGCAGCUGUUGCAGUUAUUGGGCCAUACCGCUCUGGGAAAUCUUUCUUGCUCAAUCAGCUGCUCUCCCUUUCUUGUUAUGAAGGUCUUCACCAUUUUUCGACGGUCAAUCUUUCAGAAAGGCAUCAUUGUGUCUCCACCGCCGAGCCCUGCUGCCAAUCUUUCAGAGGUUACAGAGAGGGAUUAAAAACAACUAUUAAACGAAAAACGCGGGGAUGUUUAUGCUUUGCUUUUCUAUCUACUGGUGGUUGGAAGUGGCCUUUUGAUUGGUGGAUUAGAGGCUUGAGAAGAGGAAGAUAUAUGCAUGUUUGUGAGCAGCGAAGACUCAGAAAGUAUACACCCAAGAUGAACUUGACGAGGUCCGCAUUGAAGUAGCUGACUAUUUACAGACUUUGCUAUAGAUGCUGACUCUACCAAAGUGAUUUUGAGUAAGGCUAGCUAGAUUUUGUAGAACCAUUUUGAAGUAGAACGUUGUACAGUUGCAGGUGAACUAAACUGCAUAUAGUUAUUUCAAUGGUCUCUUUUGGGCUAGCCUUGAUGUAGGUUGGGGUGUUUUUGCCUAUUUUUGGAACUAUUAACAAUUCUGCUGUUCUACAUAAAUUAAUGCAAUGCCCCAUAUUGAAUUAAUUCAGAAUGUCAUGUUGUCGAAUGUGGAUUAC